GAUAGCUCAAUUGGUAAAGCAUGAGACUCUUAAUCUCAGAGUUGUGGGUUCAGGCCCCAUGCUGGGCA